rnacentral:rRNA from 1 species
UAUGAAGUUGGAAUCGCUAGUAAUCGCGGAUCAGCAUGCCGCGGUGAAUACGUUCCCGGGCCUUGUACACACCGCCCGUCACACCAUGAGAGUCGGGAACACCCGAAGUCCGUAGCCUAACCGCAAGGGGGGCGCGGCCGAAGGUGGGUUCGAUAAUUGGGGUGAAGUCGUAACAAGGUACC